rnacentral:lncRNA from 1 species
GUUUGCAACAAGAUUUGCAUAUAAAAACAAUUCAUGGCUAACCGUAACUACUGCCAUCAGAUUUGUUACGGCUUCAUAACGCAUUGAACAAGAUUCACGUUUUUUCAGUACACUAACUUGCACAUUAUUUUUAGUAUCGGUGCUUGAUAAAAAAAAAAAAAGAAGACAUAGUACCCGUACAAAUCACUCCUGCAUGCGCAGGCUACAGCUGUGUGCUACAGUGUUUAUCAACAGUGUGAGGAUGAACUUUAGUCCACACACCUGUCCAGUGCACAUGCUCCAAACUUUUCCCUUACCGUUAAACUGCAACUCUCGUCCAGAAGGAAACUAGCAAAGAAAUCGAGAGUUGAGAAAAGAAAGAUCUACGGGCUCCGGCUCGCAAGCGACGUCACGGUGCGGCACGGCCGGGCCUCGUCGCCUUGAGCCGCCGGCGCACCUCGUUCCCACCGCUGUCAGCCGCAUGCUGAUGCUGAUGCUGAUGCUUCUCC